AAACAAUUUAAGUUUUUAUAAAUAAGUGUAUUAAAUAUUUAAAUAUUUUAUGAUGAUUUAUUGCAGAUUUACUAAUAUCGUGAGUGUUUUUUUGUUCGAUUUAUAUAGAAAAAAUCGAUUUUUCGAUAUAUAUAUUUUUAAUAUAUUUUAUCUAAAUCCGUAAACAGAGUAGGCCUGUAAAAAGAUUUCAAACUCGGAUAUUAAGAUUUAACCAAAAAUCGCAUAAAAUAUUAAAUACGACAAAUUUUUCGUCCGAGAGAAAAGAAUGUUUCUGUAUAACAGAAAACUUCUUGCCUCUGGAGAGAAGCGCUGCUUGAAGAUGCUGUCUAGCAGAUUGAUUCUUUACUCAGUUCUAUUGUAGAUGAAUUAUUAAUAAUAUAAAGUCUAGUCAGUCUGAUCACCAGAAUUUCUGCAUUCUGUAUUUGAAUGUCGUCGGUGUAACUGGUGAAGAUGGCUUGCAAGUAUCAUCCGAAUAUUAAACAUGAAUAAGCUUAUACUUGUCAUUUUGAUUUAGAGAGCGCAUUAUACAGUAUCCGAAAAAAACAAAAAACGGAUUGUUUUCGAGUUGUAAAUCGACUUAUAACAAGAAAAAAAAAAGAGAGAGACUUCUGUUAGUGACAGACUCAAAGCAGUUACUGCAUUUCAAACGCAAUAAGGAAUGACGCUCUCUCGAUAAGUUAGAGUUUAGAUAGCUGUAGCAGCUUUGAAAGCAAAAAUUGGUUUCUUCUCGACUUUAAGAGGCUUUCGACUGUGCAAAAGGGUCUCAUCUAGCCUGUUAAUGGUAAAAGUUCCUCGCAGAUUUACUGUGUUCGCGUGGGAGAUGGAAUACCGAACAGGAAUCGAUUCCAAAUUCCUUAGUUUAAACUGGACUUUGAUGGGGACAAAUAGUUCCACCAAAUUUCUUCCUAAUGCCAGUAAUUCGAAAGAAAAUUUUUUUUUUUUAAAUUUGAUAAAUACAUUAUCUAAAAAGGAAAAAUCUAUAGACAUGCUAGCAUUAAUGAUUUUAUUUAAUCC
rnacentral:lncRNA from 1 species